AAAUGCCAUCAGAAUGCUUACUUCAUGAGUGGCGUAUUGUGGACCAGGUGUGGUGGUCCACUCGGGGCCAGAAAGUCCAGGGCCACUUUUAGGCCCCGUACACGCCUGAUUAUUGCUGUUAAUGCUAAAUAACAUAAGCUGAAAUUUUAAAUAUUGAUGUUAAAACACUGAAAUGAGGGCCCCAUCCCUAUAUUUUGUCUAGGAUCCGACAAAUCACUAAAUCUGUCCUUGUGCUAGCCACUACACCACCACAUAGGACACAAGUUUUAUUUUAUACAUUUACAAAAUAUAUAAUUUAUUUUCAAAAAAAAAAUUUAUGAGUUGCAUUUUUAAGCUAUAAUAUUUGUGAUUUUAUGUGAAACUAUUAUAAACAGGUGUCACUCAAGUGAAUUAAAUGAUGUAGAUAAUGACUGAAUCCUACUCUAUGGACCCUUAGUCUCUGUAUAAGAGGAUUUCACUGGGGAUGAAGUAAUAGAUUUAAACUCUAUGUAGAGCGCUCUCUCGUGGCUCCACCCACCACGCACGUUCGAACCAAUCAUAUUAUCCUCUCUGGCGUUCAUGGGCGUGACUAACCGCGUCUGUCUGUUAAAGGUAGCAGGUUGUACAUGGCGAGCGGGUUACUCACUGAGGGUUGGUGAUUGGUGUAAUGGAAGCCGUCUCUGAACCGCAUUUAAUGACGGAGAACUACAGGAGUGGAGAGAAAACGCAGCACUGAGCAACUUGUAGACUUCACACCCGACUGUAGAAUCCCUUCUAUUGUGUGCUGGAAGAUCGCUGGACUUGAAGCAACUCCAAAUGGUGGCCUGUUUGUCCAAAGCCCAGGCUGACCCCCCACCCCUUCAACCUUUGCAGCAAUGCUGGCAGCACUAUUUCCCAAAGACAACCUCUGGAUAUGACGCUGAGCACGUGCAAUCAACUUCUUCUUUGGUCGACCAUGGCGAGGCCUGUUCUGAGUGGAACCUGUCCUGUUAAACCGCUGUAUGGUCUGGGCCAUCGUGCUGCAGCUCAGUGUCAGGGUCUUGUGCCCAACGCCCGUGGUGGUGGCAGUGCAUGGCGUGUGUGUGGAAGCAGGUCUGUUGGGAGUGUUAAGUACCAUCAUCUCAUACACUCACCACAACUCUGGGAAGUUCCAUCCAUAUUGUUUGCUGUCACUUUUCCUGCAAAGCUUUAACCAUCAGAGAGUUAUCUUUUACUGGGGCUUUUAGCUGCAGGAGACUGAAUUACUAAGUUUUUUUUUUUGUGGAUCUGAUUUCUUCUUUCGCAGGAGUGGAUCUAAUCACAGCCUGUGAUAUUCGUCUGUGCACACAGGAUGCCUGGUUUCAGGUGAAGGUAUGAGGAACAUUAACUUGCCAUACAUUGCUUGCUUACAUGUUUACACCAAGAUCUGUAAACAAGCUAUUUUUGUCCAUAUGAUCAUAUAUAGAGAUAGUAAGUGAUGAGAAGAUAAGAAUGGGCUGAUUGUUCUGACUCGUACAAGCCCCUAUGAAAGAGUUGACCACAAGGGGGCACACUCUGAACAAUUAUUUACAUUUGCAGUUUGUUGAAGAUUAAAUAAACCACAGUGAGCAUCAGAUGUCUGGUUUUAAUACAAAGUUUUAUGAUGAACUAUUUUAUGAUAUUACCAUCUUGUCAUUUAUCAAAGAAGAGCUACAAAACCUGAAAUUUGUUCAUUUUUAGACAGAAAAAUUCUGCAGUGUAGCUCUUCUAGUGGGCUUUCCCACUGGAUGUUUAGUCCAACACAGAGCAGUUUGCAUGAAAAGUUGGUAAUGUGACCGUCGUAAUGUGGACUGGGAAGUGCACUGCGGUACCGAACCCGAGACUACCUGUAGAAGGUGGUCCGAGUUCAGUUACAAUGGAACUGUGAAUGUGAAUUGUCCCAUGAAUGUGAACGUAACUUGUAUCCGGGUCUGCACUUUUUCAGGAAGUAGAGUAACCUGUGCUGAAGGCCUGUUGUGGUGAUGACGUGUCAUGACAUGUUUUGGCCCAAAUCUGCAGUGACUUUGAAAAAGUGGAAGCUCCUCUGAAUAUUGUGGAGUUUCUUGAUUUUGCGUUAAUUUCUGUGAUCACAAAAAGGUGAAAUUCUGGACUGACACAUGGAAGAUAUGGAAUGAUAACAGAAGAAUGUGACUUUGGGUUGUACCAUGUAUUUUUUUCAUGUAGCUUUAUUAUUUAGUAUAAAUGAAGGCAAGUGUGUGUUCUGUUCUUCAUCUCUGCAGUCGUGUGUUCCCUGAUAGUCCAUGAUUGCUGGAGCUCUGGAAAUAGCAGGUGAGAUUGCAGGCCGGAGUCGCGUCGCUGUCCAAGGAACCAAAAUCAACCUCCUCUGCUCCUGAGACCACAGUGUGACUGAGAGCCUAGACUACAUGGCUACUUGGAACAUGAACAUGUUGCAGACACAGGAUCUUAUGAAGUCAGCGCAGGCAGCCCUGGAAAAGAAGAGUCCGAAAGACGUGCCCUUCUCCAAGCUUUAAAGGAGAAGAUCCAGGGCUGUUGAAGCUGCGGUGGAACUGAGACAUCAUCAUCCACAUAUCUUUAGUUCUUCUUGCUAAGUCUGUUUCUUUUUAGUCUUUUUAUUUUUAGACUGGUCAAAAGACUGAUUAGUGGAAGUGAAAUGAUAGAUGAACUUUUAUUUACUUGCUUUAUUAUUUGCAGGUGCCUUGUACAGUAAGACAGGGUAACUAAUACUCAAAAGCUUUUUUUGUGUGUUAACAUGUACAGUAGAUGGACAUAUUUUUUCUGGUGCUGUGACUGCAGAAUGUAGUGCAGUUAACACAUAAAAUUUCCUUGGAUGCUCACUUUUAACUCGAGGACGUCACAGUUUGCCCAGACAUCUUUUUUUAAAUCCGUCAAUCCGUCACCCACACGUCAUUCUGGGGGACGAAGAGGAGGAAGCUGGACAGAUAAAUUUAUUUAUUUAUUUAUCAUUGCUGUGUUUCCUUAAUCGAGUGCAGAAAGAAGAAAAACAACACAACUGAUUUAAAAUAAAAAUAUAGAAAAUAAUCUAAUGUAAGAUUCUGAUCCGGUUUGCUUUCAGCAGGAAGGCUGUCCUCUUUCCUGUUGCUCUUUCUCUUCUAUUAGUCCAUUUGUCCAGUCUGAAUCGGUUUUGAUUCGUUUCGAGACGAUUCGGAGUCGAAUAAUUUUCUAGUGAGAGUCGCACACUUCCAAACGAACUAGACUGAGAUGAGUAUUUGAUUCUCACUAGAAAGUGAUUCGACUCUGAAUAAACUCGAAAUGAAUCAGUCAAACUGAUUCAGACUCUAUAAAAGGACUAUGAGAUGUGAUUAAGAUAUAUAUUCCAAUGUUUUGCUUUACAAUUCCAUUGUGUGUGUGUGUGUGUGUGUGUGUGUGUGUGUGUGUGUGUGUGUGUGUGUGUGUAUGUGUGUGCGUGCGCGCGCACGUGUGUUUUUCAGGAGAACGAGAAACUCGGACACAACAGUACAUCCUGACCAUUGGUACUGUGUACACAUCAACAUACACACACGUCUCCAUGCUGGACAUCUCAGGAGCUUUCACACAGUGCUAGGAAUAUCCCGGGACAGAGAAACGCACCUUCUAAGUGAGCGAGUUUAGCGUCAACCGGUGAAAUUUGCUGUAGCGUGAACACUUCGCCUCUGUGAGCUUCACUCUCCGUAGGGUUCACUGUAAUUAGACAUAAAAUGUACAUAGUUUAUUUUUCAUGCAUUUAGGAUUUAAUGUUUUUUUUUUUUUUUACUCUUCGAGGAACAGAAAUGAUCUUUCGAGGCAGCUUCUUCAUCACUACCUGCUCCGUUUGACUCAAAAAUGUAACGACCGGUUUCAAAAAGUCACGAUGUCUUCAGUUCAUGAGAUUUUACUGUUGAAUUUAAACAGGAAAUGUGAAAUAUUUUUUCCCUUUGUUUCCUCUACUGUCUUUUUGCUGUGAUCUUGAACACAGUUGUAAUUUUUAAAAAAAAAAUAAUAAAAAAAAUGAUAAUUCUAGUUCUCUCACUUUCCUUGUCCUAAUUGUCCUGUAUCUGUUAAAUCCGUUUCAUCUCUGUUCUUUCUGUCUGUAUGAACACUUGUAGAAAUGACUUGUAGUCCAUAUUUUUAAAUGAUUCGUGAUUUUGAAUUUAAAUAAAGAUAUUCUUUAAUUCUGUA